rnacentral:rRNA from 1 species
GACGAACGCUGGCGGCGUGCUUAACACAUGCAAGUCGAACGGAAAGGCCCUGCUUUUGUGGGGUGCUCGAGUGGCGAACGGGUGAGUAACACGUGAGUAACCUGCCCUUGACUUUGGGAUAACUUCAGGAAACUGGGGCUAAUACCGGAUAGGAGCUCCUGCUGCAUGGUGGGGGUCGGAAAGUUUCGGCGGUUGGGGAUGGACUCGCGGCUUAUCAGCUUGUUGGUGGGGUAGUGGCUUACCAAGGCUUUGACGGGUAGCCGGCCUGAGAGGGUGACCGGCCACAUUGGGACUGAGAUACGGCCCAGACUCCUACGGGAGGCAGCAGUGGGGAAUAUUGCACAAUGGGCGGAAGCCUGAUGCAGCAACGCCGCGUGCGGGAUGACGGCCUUCGGGUUGUAAACCGCUUUCGCCUGUGACGAAGCGUGAGUGACGGUAAUGGGUAAAGAAGCACCGGCUAACUACGUGCCAGCAGCCGCGGUGAUACGUAGGGUGCGAGCGUUGUCCGGAUUUAUUGGGCGUAAAGGGCUCGUAGGUGGUUGAUCGCGUCGGAAGUGUAAUCUUGGGGCUUAACCCUGAGCGUGCUUUCGAUACGGGUUGACUUGAGGAAGGUAGGGGAGAAUGGAAUUCCUGGUGGAGCGGUGGAAUGCGCAGAUAUCAGGAGGAACACCAGUGGCGAAGGCGGUUCUCUGGGCCUUUCCUGACGCUGAGGAGCGAAAGCGUGGGGAGCGAACAGGCUUAGAUACCCUGGUAGUCCACGCUGUAAACGGUGGGUACUAGGUGUGGGGUCCAUUCCACGGGUUCCGUGCCGUAGCUAACGCUUUAAGUACCCCGCCUGGGGAGUACGGCCGCAAGGCUAAAACUCAAAGGAAUUGACGGGGCCCCGCACAAGCGGCGGAGCAUGCGGAUUAAUUCGAUGCAACGCGUAGAACCUUACCUGGGUUUGACAUGGAUCGGGAGUGCUCAGAGAUGGGUGUGCCUCUUUUGGGGUCGGUUCACAGGUGGUGCAUGGCUGUCGUCAGCUCGUGUCGUGAGAUGUUGGGUUAAGUCCCGCAACGAGCGCAACCCUUGUUCACUGUUGCCAGCACGUUAUGGUGGGGACUCAGUGGAGACCGCCGGGGUCAACUCGGAGGAGGGUGGGGAUGACGUCAAGUCAUCAUGCCCCUUAUGUCCAGGGCUUCACGCAUGCUACAAUGGCUGGUACAGAGAGUGGCGAGCCUGUGAGGGUGAGCGAAUCUCGGAAAGCCGGUCUCAGUUCGGAUUGGGGUCUGCAACUCGACCUCAUGAAGUCGGAGUCGCUAGUAAUCGCAGAUCAGCAACGCUGCGGUGAAUACGUUCCCGGGGCU